AUCUCGCGGCCUAUCAGCUUGUUGGUGAGGUAAUGGCUCACCAAGGCGACGACGGGUAGCCGGCCUGAGAGGGUGACCGGCCACACUGGGACUGAGACACGGCCCAGACUCCUACGGGAGGCAGCAGUGGGGAAUAUUGCACAAUGGGCGAAAGCCUGAUGCAGCGACGCCGCGUGAGGGAUGACGGCCUUCGGGUUGUAAACCUCUUUCAGUAGGGAAGAAGCGAAAGUGACGGUACCUGCAGAAGAAGCGCCGGCUAACUACGUGCCAGCAGCCGCGGUAAUACGUAGGGCGCAAGCGUUAUCCGGAAUUAUUGGGCGUAAAGAGCUCGUAGGCGGUUUGUCGCGUCUGCCGUGAAAGUCCGGGGCUCAACUCCGGAUCUGCGGUGGGUACGGGCAGACUAGAGUGAUGUAGGGGAGACUGGAAUUCCUGGUGUAGCGGUGAAAUGCGCAGAUAUCAGGAGGAACACCGAUGGCGAAGGCAGGUCUCUGGGCAUUAACUGACGCUGAGGAGCGAAAGCAUGGGGAGCGAACAGGAUUAGAUACCCUGGUAGUCCAUACCGUAAACGUUGGGCACUAGGUGUGGGGGACAUUCCACGUUUUCCGCGCCGUAGCUAACGCAUUAAGUGCCCCGCCUGGGGAGUACGGAAGCUUGGAAUUCG
rnacentral:rRNA from 1 species